AGUAGCAAUGCCUGAGUCAGCCAGGAAAGCCCCCCUUUACCUGGCCCUUCCCUGCAUCACCAGAAACAGCAAGCAGAGUGACUUCACACAAAGCUUUCACUGUGGGUUCGGCAGCCAUUUCUCUCCCCCCCCCCCCCCAGUUUGGCGUUUUCUCCCCUUGAAGGACUCAGGAAAAGGUUCUUUUAUCUACAGUUGGUAGAAAUCAGCUUCUGUCUGUGUCACAGAAGUCUGACAGACAGCCACAGUCAAGAGAUGGCAGCAGGCAUGUGAUGCGACCAGCUGAAGCAGGCCUCCUUCCCAGCAGACCAUCUGCAAAUAUUUAUGGAGGCUCUACUGUGUGCCAGCUCUGUGCCCAGGUCUGCGGGGCACACAGGCGUCCUGUGUGAAACAAGGAAUGUAUGUUAGGAAUGGGAAGACUAGUGGACAUGCAGGAAAUGGAGAAAGGGUCUGUCACUAGGUCCUGGAGCUGGCCAGGUAGCCUAGGGUAGCUGACCCCGCAAAGCCCAGGAGCCUCCUGUCUGCAGCUCUUCACAGUUGAGCCCACAACCUCACCUCACAUCACCACUGCUUAUGUGGGUUCUGAGACUCAAACUCACAUCCUCAUGCUUUCGAACCAAGCAGUGUGCCAACAGAUCCAGCCCCCAGUUCUGGAACUCUUUCAGGACCCAAUUCAGUGGUCAGAAACCAAAGCUGAAGAUACCUUCUGACUCCAGGAGCUUGGUGACCAAUGACUCUGAACUUCAGGAUCUUGGUAAUUCUGUGACGCUCCAAGGAGCUGUCUCCCUGCUUGGCACAGAAAGGGCAAUGUCGGGAGUGGGCUGCCAUGCCUGUUGAAAAGUCCCCGUGACCUGCUCCUCUUGUUUAUGUACUGUCCUGGGGAAGGUAACAAUUUAGAUGGCAAAUGUCGCUGCCAGGGCUGGGAGUCACAGUCUUAAUUCCCGGGUAUUUACUGUGACAGGUUUAAUGUUCUAAUAUCUCAGGGAGACCCAGGCUCCACUCCAGAGCAGACAAGAUAGGAAUGGCCAAGACGCCUCACUUGGCUUUUUAUCCUGACAAUUUAUGAAACCUGAUGCUUCCGUUAGCUCUUAGGCUCAGGGGCCCUGGAGCAAGAUCUGGGGAGCAUCCCAGCUCUGACUGACUGCUGCCUGUCUCUCAUCCCUGAGUGAGCCCCUGGCACUGGCCUUCCUGCGGGGGAUCCCUGGCAGGCCCCUCCUUGAUGGCCUGUAGCUCCACAUUACUUGGCAGCGGACGGCGAUGCCUGCUUCAGUCAGGCUGUGGGGGACCUGAGGCAGCAUCGGUGACAUAGCAACCUCGCUUCCAAAUUCAGCCUCAAGCAAACAUCCGCAUUAGUGAUUCGUUUCCACACUGGGAUCAUCAGUGUGCGGUGGCUCAGACAGCCUCCUCCGCUAGCAGAGCAGAUGCUCCAGCACUGGGUCGAAGCAUUCCUAAGUCCAGUGGACAAAACCAGGCCACACUAUCUCCCUCCAUUCCUCCCCCCAUUCCUGCCCAUAGGUCUGUGUGGACAGAAGGAGCUGAGGGACCUUCCUACCUUAUAUAAGGGGAGGGGGGGAGAAGGGGAGAAAGAAUCACUCUGUAGCCGAGGCUGGCUUUAAACUUGUAACAGCCCUCUUGCCUCAGCCUCCUGAAUUCUGAGGUGACAGGUGCGAACCAUCUCCAGCAAAAUAAUUGUUACAAAGAAAUUUGCUGGGAGCCUUUUAGUUCUUGACCAUGAGCUGGCUUCCUACUCCCUAAUUUGAGCUUCUAUUUCUUCCCCACAAAUUAUUCUAGUGAAAGGGAGAAUAUUUUAUUUACC
rnacentral:lncRNA from 1 species